rnacentral:rRNA from 1 species
AACGAACGCUGGCGGCAUGCCUAACACAUGCAAGUCGAACGAGACCUUCGGGUCUAGUGGCGCACGGGUGCGUAACGCGUGGGAACCUGCCCUUAUGUUCGGAAUAACUCCCCGAAAGGGGUGCUAAUACCGGAUAAUGUCUUCGGACCAAAGAUUUAUCGCCUUUGGAUGGGCCCGCGUUGGAUUAGCUAGUUGGUAGGGUAAAAGCCUACCAAGGCGACGAUCCAUAGCUGGUCUGAGAGGAUGAUCAGCCACACUGGGACUGAGACACGGCCCAGACUCCUACGGGAGGAAGCAGUGGGGAAUAUUGGACAAGGGGCGAAAGCCUGAUACAGCAAUGCCGCGUGAGUGAUGAAGGCAUUAGGGUUGUAAAGCUCUUUUACCCGGGAUGAUAAUGACAGUACCGGGAGAAUCAGCCCCGGCUAACUCCGUG